rnacentral:rRNA from 1 species
UACCAGCACCCCGAGUGGUCGGGACGAUUAUUGGGCCUAAAGCAUCCGUAGCCGGUCCUGCAAGUCUUCCGUUAAAUCCAGCUGCUCAACAGAUGGGCUGCGGAGGAUACUACAGGGCUAGGAGGCGGGGGAGGCAAGCGGUACUUUAUGGGUAGGGGUAAAAUCCGUUGAUCCAUAGAAGACCACCAGUGGCGAAGGCGGCUUGCCAGAACGCGCUCGACGGUGAGGGAUGAAAGCUGGGGGAGCAAACCGG